rnacentral:lncRNA from 1 species
AGAACGCGCUGGGAUGGGAACCGCGUUCAGGAGCUGCUAAGCGCGUUUGAGACUUCAGCCCCUUCUCCAGCUUUUAACCUAAAAGGGCUAAAUCAGACCGCAGCUAGUGUACACCCCUACCCUCCGCUGAUCCCGUCACCCCUGCGCCGAAAGCAAAAGACCCAUUCCAGCUCUGGACGUUGUGAGGCCUGGCCCAGGCGUCCGCUCUCUGGUUUUCCUAUUGAUCUUACCCCUGCUUUGGGGCCAUUGUGUUGCGGGAAGUCAGGGACCCCAAACGGAGGGACCCGCUGAAGCCAUGGCAGAAGAACGUGGAUUGUGAAGAUUUCAUGGACAUUUAUUAGUUUCCCAAAUUAAUACUUUUAUAAUUUCUUAUGCCUGUCUUUACUGCAAUCUCUGAAGAUUUCAUGGACACUUAUCACUUCCCCAAUCAAUACCCUUAUGAUUUCCUAUGCCUGUCUUUACUUUAAUCUGUUAAUCCUGUCAGCUCGUAAACCAAGGAGGAUGUAUGUCGCCUCAGGACCCUGUGAUAAUUGCGUUAACUGCACAAAUUGUAGAACAUGUGUGUUUGAACAAUAUGAAAUCUGGGCACCUUGAAAAAAGAACAGGAUAACAGCAAUUGUUCAGGGAAUAACAGCGAUAACCUUAAACUCUGACCACCGGUGAGACGGGCGGAAAAGAGCCAUAUUUCUCUUCUUUCAAAAGCAAAUGGGAGAAAUAUUGCUGAAUUCUUUUUCUCAGCAAGGAACAUCCCUGAGAAAGAGAAUGCACCCCUGAGGGUGGGUCUAUAAAUGGCCCCCUUGGGUGUGGCCAUCUUCUGUGGUCGAGACUGUAGGGAUGAAAUAAACCCCAGUCUCCCAUAGCACUCCCAGGCUUAUUAGGAAGAGGAAAUUCCCCCCUAAUAAAUUUGGUCAGACCGGUUGAUCUCAAAACCCUGUCUCCUGAUAAGAUGUUAUCAAUGACAAUGGUGCCCGAAACUUCAUUAGCAAUUUUAAUUUCACCCCAGUCCUGUGGUCAUGUGAUCUCGCCCUGCCUCCAUUUGCCUUGUGAUAUUCUAUUACCUCAUGAAAGACGUGAUCUGUGACCCACACCUAUUCGCACACUCCCUCCCCUUUUGAAACUCCCUAAUAAAAACUUGCUGGUUUUGCAGCUUGUGGGGCAUCGUGGAACCUACCGACAUGUGAUGUCUCCCCCAGAUGCCCGGCUUUAAAAUUUCUCUCUUUGUACUCUGUCCCUUUAUUUCUCAAACCAGCGGAUGUUUAGGGAAAAUAGAAAAGAACUUACGUGACUAUCAGGGCAGGUUCCCCAAUAAUUGCAGUUCCUCUAGGUGGGAUGUUACCUCAUUAAUUUGAGAUCUUUCUAACUUUUUGAGGUAGGUGUUUAGCACCAUAAACUUUUCUCUUAACACUGCUUUUGCUGUAUCCCAGAGAUUUCCGUAUGUUAUGUCUCUGUUUUCAUUUAUUUCAAAGAUUUUUUUACUUCUGCCUUAAUUGCACUAUUUACCCAAAAGUCUUUUAGGAGCAAGUUGUUUAAUUUCCAUGUAACUGUGUGGUUUAAAGAGAUCUUCUUGGUAUUGAUUUCCAUUUUUAUUCUACCGAGGUCUGAGAAUAUGGUUGCUAUGAUUUAGGUUUUUUUAAAUUUAUCGAAACUUGCUUUAUGGCCAGGCAUGUGGUGGAAUGUGUUCUAUGUGCAGAUGAGAAAAAUGUAUAUUCCUGUGGUUGAUGGGUGGAGUAUUCUGUAGAUGUCUAUUAGGUCCAAUUGGUCAAGUGUUGAAUUUAAGUCCAGAAUUUUUGUCAGCUUUCUUUCUUCUUUCUCCCUUCCUUCCUUCCUUCCUCUUUCUUUUCUUUCCUUCCUUCCUUUUUCUUUUUCUUUUGUCUGAGACAGAGUCUCGCUCUUUCAUCCAGGCUGGAGUGCAGUAGCGCAAUCUUAGCUCACUGCAACCUCUACCUCCCAGCUCAAGCGAUUCUCCUGCCUCAGCCUCCUGAGUAGCUGGGAACACAGGCGUGCACCACCAUGCCCACCUAAUUUUUGUAUUUUACAAAACAGAGAUAGGGUUUCACCAUGUUGGCCAGACUGGUCUCGAACUCCUGGCCUCAAGUGAUCUGCCCACCUCAGCCUCCCAAAGUGCUGGGAUUACAGGCAUGAGCCACUGUGCCCAGCCUAUUUUUGUCAGUUUUCUGCCUCAAUGAUCGGUCUAGCAGUGUCAGUCAGGUGUUGAAGUACCCUACUAUUAUUGUGUGGCUUUCAAAGUCUUUUCAUAGGUCUAGAAGGACUCAUAAAUCUGGGUGAUCCAAUAUUGGGUAUAAAUAUAUUUAGGAUAUUUGUCUUCUUAUUGAAUUGAAUUCUUU